AAAAAAUAUGAGUCCAAAGAAUACAAUCUCUUGCUGUUAAAAAUUAAAAAAAAAUACAUGUUUUACUAGACAUAUAUAAUUUAUUACUUUUAGUUUAUAAAAUUUUAAUUAAAUAAAAGUAUGUUUUUAAUUAUUGUAAAUUUUGUUAAUAUGUGUCAAUAUGAACUCCGAUGAAAAAGAAAUCCUACUAUAUAAAAGGGACUAAAUUCAAGGCUUUUGAGACUAUCCACCUCACCCAAAAUAUUCUCAUCCA
rnacentral:lncRNA from 1 species